rnacentral:lncRNA from 1 species
AAAUAAAAUAAAUAAAUAAAAUUCGCAGUGGUAUCACCUUCUCCCUUUUUUAAAAUCGAAAAUAAGUAAAAAAUAAUCGAAAAAGAAAAAAAAGAAAACAGUAAGCCACCUUUAAAAAACUGCCAAUCGUUCUCCCUUUUUUAUUGGUUCUCUUUUUUUUUCUGACAAUGAAGGGAGAGGCCUCUAUUUAUAGCUGAGCCUCCCCAAAUCCAACGGUACAGAUCAAUUACAUCAACG